rnacentral:rRNA from 1 species
UACGAAGGGGGCUAGCGUUGCUCGGAAUCACUGGGCGUAAAGGGUGCGUAGGCGGGUUUUUAAGUCAGAGGUGAAAUCCUGGAGCUCAACUCCAGAACUGCCUUUGAUACUGAGAAUCUUGAGUUCGGGAGAGGUGAGUGGAACUGCGAGUGUAGAGGUGAAAUUCGUAGAUAUUCGCAAGAACACCAGUGGCGAAGGCGGCUCACUGGCCCGGUACUGACGCUGAGGUGCGAAAGCGUGGGGAGCAAGCAGG